UGGUUCAGUAGUAGAAUUCUCACCUUCCUUGUGGGAGACCCAGGUUCGAUUCCUGG
rfam:Loxodonta africana unplaced genomic scaffold scaffold_11, whole genome shotgun sequence.